CUGAGUAGCUGGGACUACAGGCACACACCACCACAUCGAAGUGUUCAGACAGUGUCAUCCGGACUCUGCCUCUGCAUCUUUCAGUUCUGCUUCAACAUCGGCUCCUGCUUCAGUAGGCUGUGAAGGUGCUGCACUGAGACAACAUUACCGACUUUAUGAUAUGUGGUAGUUAAGAGUAUACAGAGGGGAAGAAAUCACAUCCAGUAAGUUGUUUGCUUAACAUACUUAUCAUAGUUCUCACUUAUAAGCUAAUUUAAGCAAUUUUUUAGGUAUACAUAUUCUAAGCUAAAUCUAGCAUAGCUUUAUUUUCUGAUCUCAAAGAAGAUCUUAAUUCCACUGAAAUUAUUGUUAUCAAUAUCACUGUUUCAUAUGCUUGUUAAUAUUUAGAUAUUGUGAUACCUACAUACAUACAUACAUAUUUGAUAAAAUAUAGCAAUAGAUAUACCUAGAAAUACAUCUACCUUUUUUAAUGAGGCUUUAGCUCAUGGCAACUUGACCACAAAAAAAGGAUGACUAUAGUAUCCAUAGUCGCAAUAUACAGGAGUAAUCCUACUUCAUUGAAGUACCUUUAUGAAAGGAUAGCAUUGUACUACAUUAAGGGUCAUAAAUUAUCAUGAUACUGAUGAAUGGAUUUGUUAGAGAAAAUAAGUAAAGUGGUAUUUAGUAUGUGAGAAUCAGUUAGCACUCAAAAUUUUAUUUUUUUCACUAACUUCUAUGAAACUUUCUAUUGUUUUCUUCUGGGAUUUGACUUCUCCAUUUGGCGAGCUGUCAUUUUGACAGGGGUUAACACCAAAGAUCAUCUUUCCGGAGGGCCAUUUUACUGGCAAGCUUGAAGACAGCUGUGGUGGGAUUUGCUUCACAUUAAACCCAGUUUAGAGGAGAAUGCAGAGUCCCCCAGGUGUGUAUCUCAAGAGCACUCCACAACAAAGAUUCUGCCUGCAAUCCUCCACUUCAAGGCACAGCUAUAUAAAGAAACCAGAUGGCCCAACAGCGCCAGAGCUUCUCCACCCCUGACCAGAUAUCAGAAGGAGGUAGGAUCCCCAACCAGCACAAACUUUAACAGGUGACCCCUAGUGGCUUUUAGGUCUGUUUUUUGUUGUUGUUGUUGUUGUUGUUGUUGUUUUAAGACAGAGUCUUACUCUGUCA